GAUGAAGAACGUAGCGAAAUGCGAUACGUAAUGUGAAUUGCAGAAUUCAGUGAAUCAUCGAAUCUUUGAACGCAUAUUGCGCUCUCUGGUAUUCCGGAGAGCAUGCUUGUUUGAGUAUCAGUAAACACCUCAACUUCCAUAUCUUUUUUGAAAUGGGAGUUGGACUUGAGUGAUCCCAACGCUUUUCUUCACCGAAAAGUGGCGGGUUACUUGAAAUGCAGGUGCAGCUGGACUUUUCUCUGAGCUAUAAGCAUAUCUAUUUAGUCUGCCUAAAAAACAGUUUAUUACCUUUGCUGCAGCUAACAUAAAGGAGAUUAGUUCUUGUGCUGACUGAUGCAGGAUUCACAAAGACAGGCUUCGGCCGACUUUGUAAACUCGAUCUCAAAUCAAGUAAGACUACCCGCUGAACUUAAGCAUAUCAAUAAGCGGAGGA
rnacentral:misc_RNA from 1 species